rnacentral:rRNA from 1 species
CCCUCGCCCUUAGUUGCCAGCAUUUAGUUGGGCACUCUAAGGGGACUGCCGGUGAUAAGCCGAGAGGAAGGCGGGGAUGACGUCAAGUCCUCAUGGCCCUUACGGGCUGGGCUACACACGUGCUACAAUGGUGGUGACAGUGGGCAGCGAGACCGCGAGGUCGAGCUAAUCUCCAAAAGCCAUCUCAGUUCGGAUUGCACUCUGCAACUCGAGUGCAUGAAGUUGGAAUCGCUAGUAAUCGCAGAUCAGCAUGCUGCGGUGAAUACGUUCCCGGGCCUU